rfam:Ipomoea nil DNA, scaffold: scaffold0114, cultivar: Tokyo-kokei standard.
GAUACCAUGGCCCAAUGGAUACAGUGCUGGUCUAUAAAGCCAGAGAUUUUGGGUUCAUCCCCAAUGAAGUCG